rnacentral:rRNA from 1 species
CCAAUAGCGUAUAUUAAAGUUGUUGCAGUUAAAAAGCUCGUAGUUGAAUUUCGAGAUCAAUUUGUUGGUCGUGCCUCGGUACGUACUGGCAAUUUUGAUUUCUCCCUUCUGAAGAACCAUGAUGUCAUUAAUUUGGUGUCAUGGGAAAUCAGGACUGUUACUUUGAAAAAAUUAGAGUGUUUAAAGCAGGCUCGCGCUUG